UACGGAGGUGCAAGCGUUGUUCGGAAUUACUGGGCGUAAAGAGUGCGUAGGCGGUUCGGCAAGUUGGAAGUGAAAUCCCGGGGCUCAACCUCGGAAUUGCUUUCAAAAACUGCUGAUCUAGAGUAUGGUAGGGGAUAGUGGAAUUCCUAGUGUAGGGGUGAAAUGCGUAGAUAUCUGGAGGAAUACCGGUGGCGAAGGCGGCAUCCUGGACCAUUACUGACGCUGAGGCGCGAAAGCUAGGGGAGCAAACGGG
rnacentral:rRNA from 1 species